ACAAAAAAAAAAACAAAAUGAGAAUCUCUCUGCAGAGCUUCUCGACUCUUCCAAAAUUUAUUCCACUCCCCUGUCCUCUCUGUCCUCUCUGCUCUCUCUCUAUCUAUAAAAAUGAUGAUCACAUCUUCUUCGUAUCAUCAUCAUCAUCAUCAUCAUCUCCUCACGAUCUCACCAUUACCAAACCCUACUCUCUUCUUCUCUGCAGGGAACCCUUAACUUGUUCUUGUCUGAUCUUGUCUCUGUGUCUGUUCAUCAACAAUGGCACAUAUCCUUUUCUUUGAUCUGUUCAUUUUUAUUACAUAGGGAGAUAAAAGUUUAGGUUUUUAUUUUUUAAUGUUCUGUGAUAUUAUUUUUUUGUUUGGCUUUAAUUGAAGCAAACGUGGUAACCAAAGAGAACGUGAUCGUGAAAGAGCUCAAGCUAGAGGUAAUCAUAAACCUAAGCAACCUAAGAACGAUGGAUUAACUCCUGAACAACGUCGUGAAAGAGACGCGAGAGCAUUGCAGGAGAAGGCGGCUAGAAAGGCAGGACAAUCAAUGGGAGGAGGGAACCAUGACCACGCCCUUCGCGUUGGUGGAAAAAUCAAGAAAUAAGACUGAUCAUGCAGUAGGGGUUUCUCUGAUAUUUGUAAUUAUAUGUUAUUUAUUGGUUGAUCAUCCGAGUUGAUUCGAUAUCGUGGGUGGGGGAGGUUUUCAAGAGUUGUGUUAAAGUCUUCGAGUGUGAUUCUAAUCUUGGCAUAUGAACUUUUUGUUAUACGUCUUAUAUUCAGUGAAAUGUGUUGAUGCUUCGUUCUUUUGCUUUUCGAGUUCUCGGUAAUAAAAUGCUUUGGAUUGUCCUCAA